rnacentral:rRNA from 1 species
UACGUAGGUGGCAAGCGUUGUCCGGAUUUACUGGGCGUAAAGAGCGCGCAGGCGGUCGGCCAAGUCGAGUGUGAAAGCCCCCGGCUCAACUGGGGAGGGUCAUUCGAUACUGGUCGACUCGAAGGCAGGAGAGGGAAGCGGAAUUCCCGGUGUAGUGGUGAAAUGCGUAGAUAUUCGGAAGAACACCAGUGGCGAAGGCGGCUCACUGGACCGGCAUUGACGCUGAUGUGCGAAAGCGUGGGGAGCAAACAGG